rnacentral:rRNA from 1 species
UACGUAGGGUGCAAGCGUUGUCCGGAAUUAUUGGGCGUAAAGAGCUCGUAGGCGGUUUGUCGCGUCGGCUGUGAAAACCUGGGGCUCAACCCCGGGCCUGCAGCCGAUACGGGCAAACUAGAAUUCGGUAGGGGAGACUGGAAUUCCUGGUGUAGCGGUGAAUGCGCAGAUAUCAGGAGGAACACCAGCGGCGAAGGCAGGCU